GAACAUAGUCGCAUCUUUGUCA
rnacentral:snRNA from 1 species